UGAUGGUGUAGAUGAGACUGGGUCUAGUCAUGUUAUAGAUGAUGGUGUAGAUGAGACUGGGUCUAGUUAUGUUAUAGAUGAUGGUGUAGAUGAGACUGGGUCUAGUUAUGUUAUAGAUGAUGGUGUAGAUGAGACUGGGUCUAGUCAGGUUAUAGAUGAUGGUGUAGAUGAGACUGGGUCUAGUCAGGUUAUAGAUGAUGGUGUAGAUGAGACUGGGUCUAGUUAUGUUAUAGAUGAUGGUGUAGAUGAGACUGGGUCUAGUUAUGUUAUAGAUGAUGGUGUAGAUGAGGCUGGGUCCAGUCAUGCUAUAGAUGGAG